rnacentral:rRNA from 1 species
AGGACGAACGCUGGCGGCGUGCUUAACACAUGCAAGUCGAGCGGAAAGGCCCUUCGGGGUACUCGAGCGGCGAACGGGUGAGUAACACGUGAGCAACCUGCCCUUAGCUCCGGGAUAGCUCCGGGAAACCGGAAUUAAAUACCGGAUACAACCACGGCCGACAUCUGCUGUGGUGGAAAGGAUUCCGGCUAAGGAUGGGCUCGCGGCCUAUCAGCUAGUUGGUGGGGUAACGGCCUACCAAGGCGACGACGGAUA